UACGUAGGGUGCGAGCGUUAAUCGGAAUUACUGGGCGUAAAGCGUGCGCAGGCGGCUUUGCAAGACAGAUGUGAAAUCCCCGGGCUCAACCUCUGGCCUGCAUCCGAUACUGCCCGACUAGAGGUAGGUAGGGGAGAUCGGAAUUCCUGGUGUAGCGGUGAAAUGCGCAGAUAUCAGGAGGAACACCGGUGGCGAAGGCGGAUCUCUGGGCCUUACCUGACGCUGAGGCGCGAAAGCUAGGGGAGCAAACAGG
rnacentral:rRNA from 1 species